GACGAACGCUGGCGGCGUGCCUAAUACAUGCAAGUCGAGCGAAUCGAUGGGAGCUUGCUCCCUGAGAUUAGCGGCGGACGGGUGAGUAACACGUGGGUAACCUGCCUGUAAGACUGGGAUAACUUCGGGAAACCGGAGCUAAUACCGGAUAGUUUCUUUUCUCACAUGAGGAGAGAUGGAAAGAUGGUUCUGCUAUCACUUACAGAUGGACCCGCGGCGCAUUAGCUAGUUGGUGAGGUAACGGCUCACCAAGGCAACGAUGCGUAGCCGACCUGAGAGGGUGAUCGGCCACACUGAGACUGAGACACGGCCCAGACUCCUACGGGAGGCAGCAGUAGGGAAUCUUCCGCAAUGGACGAAAGUCUGACGGAGCAACGCCGCGUGAGCGAAGAAGGCCUUCGGGUCGUAAAGCUCUGUUGUUAGGGAAGAACAAGUACGAGAGUAACUGCUCGUACCUUGACGGUACCUAACCAGAAAGCCACGGCUAACUACGUGCCAGCCGCCGCCGUAA
rnacentral:rRNA from 1 species